CACACUUCUAUUAUGUAUUCGAGUCUUUGAUUGACUUGUGAAAUCACGGAACAUAAUACCCGAGAUUCGCUGUUUUGGUGAAACCAUUAUCUCGGUCAAUUUUCAAAAUUACUUAAGCAAAAUUUAAAAAGAGGGGAAAUUGUACGCUACUUCUGUGUAAUCGGAACCCUAGUUGACUGAAGAAAUCACUAAAACGGUGAUUAAAAAAGGGAGCAAAUAACAAGAAGAUUCUGGCGUUUGAAAAUUUUGUGUCAUUAGCAUACGGUCUUGUUCAGCUUAUUACAGUGCUUCUUAAGAGUGCUAAUAUUAUCUUUUUUAGCAUGGAAACGAACUUUUGGUUCAUCCACGAAAUCAUGAUUAAAACGUGAUUACGGUUUUUGGUGUUCCCAUGUCCAACUUGGCUUGGAUGGGGUAUUGCAGGCGCACUACCAUCACGCCUGAUGCAACGUGAACAUGCGUAAAUGUUAAGAUAUGUCGACAAUCGUUACGAUGUUCAUCGCAAAUAAUUUUCAAGACUAAUGCUUACCUUUACAUGGAAGUCAACUGUAUCCAAAGACGAAUUGUUCUUCCAAUGCAAUCUUCAGCUAUUCAAAGCAUCUCCUUCAAGUUACCUUUAAACUUUUCCGGCAUUAGGUAAUCAUCAACGCAUAUAAAAAUCGUUCCAGUUUCCUACUUGGAUUGACUUUGUACUCACAGUACAAAAAACUGCUACGUGCAUGAAUACAUCGUUCGAAGUAAGAUAUUCAGUUAUUGUAUAGAAUUGGGGAGAAAGAAUAGCAAUAAUAAUAAUUCAGCUAAUGAUAUCUGUUUUACUCAGCAAAACUGCCUAAUUUGACUAUAAUCGUUUGAAUCGGAAGACUAUUCCAUGGCAGUGUUAAUGACGUUCCUGCGAAAUGCUGAUGUACUUUACUACGUUACUGCUAUAAGUUCAAGUUAAAAAACUUUUCCUAUUUCUUGAUGUUUGGUUUUUAUUUGCAUCUGCAACUUUUGUAAAAGCAAAA